rnacentral:tRNA from 1 species
GCCGGCGCGGCUCGACUGGCCGAGCACCGCUCUCGUAAGGCGGCAAGUGUGGGUUCGAAUCCCACCGCUGGCU